rnacentral:lncRNA from 1 species
CCAGAAUCACUUAGAAAAUUCAUAAUCUGAAUAAAUAAAAUAUUCUAAUUUUAUUUAAAAUUGGAGAUGCUCAAAACUAAACUAAUUUAUGGAGGUCACAAAUUAGACGUAAACAGUACCAACACAAGCCACCCUCAACGAAAGAAAUUGCGGUGUCCUCACUACAUAACAUGAAAGAAUAAAGUGAUAAAAGGCGACUUCCGGAAAAGUGUAUCAAUCAGAAUUGGAACUGCUAGGAUCCUUUAGGACAUAGUCGUCCUCAUCCUGCUGCUCCUCCUCACCAUAAUCAAUUUUGGUACCACACAACUUCUGAAGUAUGCCAAUCAUCUUUUUAAAGAACUUGGUUUUUGUCUUCUCAUACUCCUUUAUCUUUUGCUGCCUUCUCUCCAAUUUCACCAACCUUUCUUUGACGUAUUUCUAGCCACGAGCUAUGGUGAAAAAGGUCGGGGCAUCAGGUGCUGAGCGAGUGGAGGAGGUCUCUUAGGCAUCCAUGGCGUGCACCUAGUCAAAUCUGUAUCGGAAUGCAGGGGGUGAGUCUGGAGUGGCUAAAUGGACAUUAAAGCUCUAGCUGAAUCAAGGCUCUCACUAGCCUUCGUGAAUGUGCCGAAUGCUGAAGAAGCCACGUCAAUCUUGCUCUUAUUCCCAAACCUAUUUUUCUUUAAACGGUGAAUCUUCAUUUCUGUACACUUCACAUGGUCAUUACCCUUCUUUUCAACCCUAGCCCUUUUGCAUAGCCAUGUGAUUAAUGAAAGGGAAAACAAACUCUUAGACUACUCAGUAACCAUAUUCUGAAUGUGUUGAACAAUAAUUGCCUCGACAUUAACUUUGAUACCCUUCAUAAUAGCACAAAUAAUCUGAGCUCGCACAAUAGAGACAUCUGUCUCAUCCUUGGAGGGAAUGAUAUGGGCACAAAUAAUAGAAAACCAAGAUUUGGCUUUUGUAGUGACCUUUGAGGUAUCAACCAACAGAUUGUUGGCUAUCAAUUUUGGCAACUGUCCACCAUGCAACUGUCUCACAUACAAAUUGCGUCCCUCUUUUCCCAUUCUUGCCUUAUACAAUUCAUUUUCUGUAUUGGGAAGAACAUAGUGACCAUUGAUGAUUGAAGGGUCAAACCUUACUUAUUUCCCUCGAACUAUAUCACUAUCAAAUCAUUGGGAAAGUCUGUAUUGGUGGCCUUAGCAUAGAAAUCACGUAAAAUGAAAAAUUAGCCUUUAUCAGCUCCUCGAUGAAACAUAUCCAGCCGCUACUAACCAAUAUCAGCUAUUGGGUUUGGAGCUUCUCUAAAAGAAUGUCUUUUUUCUUCAUGAAUUUUUUUGGUCAAAAGGUGGUCGUAUAGUUGCAAACGUUUUAGUGAGAUGAAGCUUUCUUCAUCAUAGUAGUCAUCAUUCAACACUUGUCCCAUAUUUUUGAGCACGUUAGCAUUUGAUUUCAUGGCCAAAGAAAUGGAUAGAAUGGGGAUCGGAAAGCCCUAAGCUACUAUUUUUGAAAGAAUUUCAGUUUACUCAUUGCGAUGGCGAAACUUUUGUCUUGAGAUCGCCAUGUUUUACUUCAUCGCAAUAGUGUCAUGUGACAUCGCGAUAGCCAAGACCAUUUUCUUUUCAAACAAUUUUAUGCAUCAUGAUUGCGACACUUGGCCUCACGAUCACGAAGAGAAUAAAUUAGCAGAAAAUUUCACUCAAGCAUAUUGUCAAAUAGGUUGUGGGCAUCAACUUUUCUUGCAGAUAAAUUAAGGCUUAGUCUUUCCCAACAACUCAGCAUAUACUCACACCCAUCAAUUUUGCAUCAACAAACAUAAUGUUAAGAACGUGGUUCACCAAUUUCAAUGCAAGAAUCAUAUUCUAAUAAAAUCGCUUCUUUAUUUCUCAAGAUGUAAGAAAUUUGAAGGAUCAAAAAGAGAGGUCAAAGUUCAUACCUUAAAUUUAUUAUAGGA